CCUACGGGAGGCAGCAGUAGGGAAUAUUGGACAAUGGGGGCAACCCUGAUCCAGCAAUGCCGCGUGAGUGAUGAAGGCCUUAGGGUUGUAAAGCUCUUUUACCCGGGAUGAUAAUGACAGUACCGGGAGAAUAAGCCCCGGCUAACUCCGUGCCAGCAGCCGCGGUAAUACGGAGGGGGCUAGCGUUGUUCGGAAUUACUGGGCGUAAAGCGCACGUAGGCGGCGAUUUAAGUCAGAGGUGAAAGCCCGGGGCUCAACCCCGGAACAGCCUUUGAGACUGGAUUGCUUGAACAUCGGAGAGGUGAGUGGAAUUCCGAGUGUAGAGGUGAAAUUCGUAGAUAUUCGGAAGAACACCAGUGGCGAAGGCGGCUCACUGGACGAUUGUUGACGCUGAGGUGCGAAAGCGUGGGGAGCAAACAGGAUUAGAUACCCUAGUAGUC
rnacentral:rRNA from 1 species